CCUACGGGUGGCAGCAGUGGGGAAUAUUGCACAAUGGGCGCAAGCCCGAUGCAGCCAUGCCGCGUGUGUGAAGAAGGCCUUCGGGUUGUAAAGCACUUUCAGCGGGGAGGAAGGCGUUAAGGUUAAUAACCUUGUCGAUUGACGUUACCCGCAGAAGAAGCACCGGCUAACUCCGUGCCAGCAGCCGCGGUAAUACGGAGGGUGCAAGCGUUAAUCGGAAUUACUGGGCGUAAAGCGCACGCAGGCGGUCUGUCAAGUCGGAUGUGAAAUCCCCGGGCUCAACCUGGGAACUGCAUUCGAAACUGGGAGGCUAGAGUCUUGUAGAGGGGGGUAGAAUUCCAGGUGUAGCGGUGAAAUGCGUAGAGAUCUGGAGGAAUACCGGUGGCGAAGGCGGCCCCCUGGACAAAGACUGACGCUCAGGUGCGAAAGCGUGGGGAGCAAACAGGAUUAGAUACCCCUGUAGUC
rnacentral:rRNA from 1 species